CAAUGGGUGACUAUCUGUGAAGCUCCUCUGCUGGGGGAGAGUGGGCAGCCUCUCCCUUGCCCACUGGGAGAAAAGGGAGUGACCCCGGGAAUGCACUUGGUAAAUAGGAGUUCAAUAACUGUUUGUUGAAGAAAGAAAAGAACUAUGGUGGGUCAGAUGAGAGACAAAAAUCACUCUGCAGAGAUACAGCAUGCAGGAGACCACCUCUGAGACUGAGGCAAGAGUGUGCCUGAAAUGCCAGGGGUUCGAUCUAGGUCCUGCUGUUCCCUGACACAGAAAGCCAAUGACUGACACAAUGAGUAUUGCCAAAGAAGAAGGCUUUCAUCGAGUGCUGCAGCCAAGGAAAUGGAAGAUCAGUUUCAAAUCCAUCUCCCUGAACAACUAAAAAUAGAGGUUUCUACAGCAGGGAAGAAAUGUGACUAUGCAUGGGAAAACAGGAAUUAGGGAGGGGUCAUGAGGCAAUCAUGAUGAAUGAGGGGUCUGACAUCCCAUUGGCUGGAUGUGGUUACAUGAUGAGUUUCUGUUCUUUGACACUUUUUGAAAGGCCUGAGGGCCCUUUCCUUACAAAGAAACUCAGAUAAAACCAAUGUGAGUUUCAAGCUUUAAGACCAGAAGAGUCCAUUUCUAUGUUACUAUAGGAAAAGAAAAAAACUGCCUAUGGGACUAUUGGGUUGGUUUCAAGAGGUUAUCUGAAAGGCAAGGCGGCCUCCAUAACUGCUUAUUUUCUUUUCUUUUGAAACUGUCAUUGUCUUCCCAACAUCUAGGCUUAUGAUCAUAUGGGUAAGCUUAGA
rnacentral:lncRNA from 1 species